CCUACGGGAGGCAGCAGUAGGGAAUUUUUCACAAUGGGCGAAAGCCUGAUGGAGCAACGCCGCGUGCAGGAUGAAGGCCUUCGGGUUGUAAACUGCUUUUAUAAGCGAGAAAUAUGAUGGUAACUUAUGAAUAAGGAUCGGCUAACUACGUGCCAGCAGCCGCGGUCAUACGUAGGAUCCGAGCAUUAUCCGGAGUGACUGGGUGUAAAGAGUUGCGUAGGUGGCAUAAUAAGUAGCUAGUGAAAUCUGGUGGCUCAACCAUUCAGACUAUUAGCUAAACUGUUAAGCUCGAGACAGUUAGGGGUAACUGGAAUUUCUAGUGUAGGAGUGAAAUCCGUAGAUAUUAGAAGGAACACCAAUAGCGUAGGCAGGUUGCUGGGACGGUUCUGACACUAAGGCACGAAAGCGUAGGGAGCAAACGGGAUUAGAUACCCUAGUAGUC
rnacentral:rRNA from 1 species